rnacentral:rRNA from 1 species
CGCGUAGGUGGUUAGGUAAGCGAGAUGUGAAAGCCCGGGCUUAACCUGGGAACGGCAUUUCGAACUGUCUGACUAGAGUAUGGUAGAGGGUAGUGGAAUUUCCUGUGUAGCGGUGAAAUGCGUAGAUAUAGGGAGGAACACCAGUGGCGAAGGCGGCUACCUGGACCAAUACUGACACUGAGGUGCGAAAGCGUGGGGAGCAAACA